CUCUUAUCAAGAGUGGUGGAGGGAUGUGCCCUAAGAAGCCCAGCAACCGUCGUUUAACGAAAUGGUGCUAAUUCACAUAAAGUAGACAAUACUUUAAGAGAUAAGAG
rnacentral:ncRNA from 21 species